GAAGCGGCAAUAGCUCAAAUUUGAAAUCUGGCUCUUUCAGAGUCUGAGUUGUAAUUUGUAGAAGAUGCUUCGGCUUACGUACUGGUCUAAGUUCCUUGGAACAGGACGUCACAGAGGGUGAGAAUCCCGUUUGUGGCCGGUACUUCCGCUAUGUGAAGCUCCUUCGACGAGUCGAGUUGUUUGGGAAUGCAGCUCUAAAUGGGAGGUAAAUUUCUUCUAAAGCUAAAUAUUGGCCAGAGACCGAUAGCGCACAAGUAGAGUGAUCGAAAGAUGAAAAGCACUUUGGAAAGAGAGUUAAAAAGUACGUGAAAUUGUUGAAAGGGAAGCGCUUGCGACCAGACUUGCCUUUAGUUGCUCCGCCGGUCCUUCGACCGGUGUAUUCUUCUAUUGUCAGGCCAGCAUCAGUUUGGGUGGUUGGAUAAAGACUUUGGGAAUGUGACUCUCUUCGGGGAGUGUUAUAGCCCUUUGUGCAAUACAGCCUACCUAGACUGAGGACCGCGCUUCGGCUAGGAUGCUGGCGUAAUGGUCGUAAGCGGCCCGUCUUGAAACACGGACCAAGGAGUCUAACAUCUAUGCGAGUGUUUGGGUGUCAAACCCGUGCGCGAAAUGAAAGUGAACGGAGGUGGGAACCUUAGGGUGCACCAUCGACCGAUCCUGAUGUCUUCGGAUGGAUUUGAGUAAGAGCAUAGCUGUUGGGACCCGAAAGAUGGUGAACUAUGCCUGAAUAGGGUGAAGCCAGAGGAAACUCUGGUGGAGGCUCGCAGCGGUUCUGACGUGCAAAUCGAUCGUCAAAUUUGGG
rnacentral:rRNA from 1 species